rnacentral:rRNA from 1 species
GAUGAACGCUGGCGGCGUGCCUAAUACAUGCAAGUCGAGCGAACGGACGAGAAGCUUGCUUCUCUGAUGUUAGCGGCGGACGGGUGAGUAACACGUGGAUAACCUACCUAUAAGACUGGGAUAACUUCGGGAAACCGGAGCUAAUACCGGAUAAUAUUUUGAACCGCAUGGUUCAAAAGUGAAAGACGUUCUUGCUGUCACUUAUCGAUGGAUCCGCGCUGCAUUAGCUAGUUGGUAAGGUAACGGCUUACCAAGGCAACGAUGCAUAGCCGACCUGAGAGGGGGAUCGGCCACACGAGAACUGAGACACGGUCCAGACUCCUACGGGAGGCAGCAGUAGGGAAUCUUCCGCAAUGGGCGGAAGCCUGACGGAGCAACGCCGCGUGAGUGAUGAAGGUCUUCGGAUCGUAAAACUCUGUUAUUAGGGAAGAACAUAUGUGUAAGUAACUGUGCACAUCUUGACGGUACCUAAUCAGAAAGCCACGGCUAACUACGUG